GCUGAUGUAGCACAGUUGAUAGUGCAAUCGAUUCGUAAUCGAUAGGUCAUGGGUUUGAGUCCCAUCAUCAGCUCCA
rnacentral:tRNA from 1 species